rnacentral:rRNA from 1 species
UACGUAGGGGGCGAGCGUUGUCCGGAAUCAUUGGGCGUAAAGCGCGUGUAGGCGGCUCGGUAAGUCAGGUGUGAAACCUCCAGGCUCAACCUGGAGACGCCACCUGAUACUGCCGUGGCUAGAGUCCGGUAGAGGAGAGUAGAAUUCCUGGUGUAGCGGUGAAAUGCGCAGAUAUCAGGAGGAAUACCAGCGGCGAAGGCGGCGCUCUGGGCCGGUACUGACGCUGAGGAGCGAAAGCGUGGGGAGCAAACAGG